GGCUAACGCUGGCGGCGUGUCUUAGCCAUGCAAGUCGAGCGGACUUAUGGGGUAACUUAUAAGUCAGCGGCGGACGGCGGAGUAACACGUAGCUAACCUACCCUCUGGACGGGGAUAACCUACCGAAAGGUGGGCUAAUACCCGAUGUAGUCAUCCUGUAUAGGGGUGAUGAAAGGUGGGCUUCUGUUUACAAGCUCAUGCUGGAGGAGGGGGCUGCGGCCUAUCAGGUAGUUGGUAGGGUAAUAGCCUACCAAGCCGAUGACGGGUAGCCGGCCUGAGAGGGUGACCGGCCCGAGGGGCACUGAGAUACGGGUCCCACUCCUACGGGAGGCAGCAGGCUAGAAUUUGGGCAAUGGGGGAAACCCUGACCCAGUGACGCCGCGUGCAGGAAGGAGCCCGUUCGGGGUGUAACUGCUGUCGUGUAGGGAGAAGGGUACUAAGGUGAACAUCUUAGUACUUGACGGUACUACGAGGAGAAGCCCAGGCCUAACCUCGUGCCAGCAGCCGACGGUAAAAUGCGUACUCUGAC
rnacentral:rRNA from 1 species